rnacentral:rRNA from 1 species
GAGUAACACGUGGGAACAUACCUUGAAGUGGGGGACAACAGUUGGAAACGACUGCUAAUACCGCAUAAUCCCUGAGGGGGAAAGAUUUAUCGCUUUAAGAUUGGCCCGCGGAAGAUUAGGUAGUUGGUGGGGUAAAGGCCUACCAAGCCGACGAUCUAUAGCUGGUCUGAGAGGACGAACAGCCACAUUGGAACUGAGACACGGUCCAGACUCCUACGGGAGGCAGCAGUGAGGAAUAUUGGGCAAUGGAGGAAACUCUGACCCAGCCAUGCCGCGUGAGUGAAGAAGGUUUUCGAAUUGUAAAGCUCUUUCGGAUGGGACGAUGAUGACGGUACCAUCUAAAGAAGCCCCGGCAAACUUCGUGCCAGCAGCCGCGGUAAUACGAAGGGGGCAAGCGUUGUUCGGAAUUACUGGGCGUAAAGGGUGUGUAGGCGGAUUUGUAAGAUAGUGGUGAAAUACCUGAGCUCAACUUAGGAAUUGCCAUUAUAACUAUAGAUCUGGAGUGAC